CAGUAGCCGCGGUAAUACGAGGGGGGCAAGCGUUGUUCGGAAUUAUUGGGCGUAAAGGGCGCGUAGGCGGUUUGACAAGUCUGAUGUGAAAUCUCUGGGCUCAACCCAGAGUCUGCAUCGGAAACUGUCGAGCUUGAGUAUGGGAGAGGUGAGUGGAAUUUCCGGUGUAGCGGUGAAAUGCGUAGAUAUCGGAAGGAACACCUGUGGCGAAAGCGGCUCACUGGACCAUUACUGACGCUGAGGCGCGAAAGCUAGGGGAGCAAACAGGAUUAGAUACCCGCGUAGUCCCUGUCUCUUAUAC
rnacentral:rRNA from 1 species